GAUAAUUUGUAUUGUUUUCUCUGUUUGAUGGUAGGCCAACUGUGCUGAUGUUAUUCUUGUUACAGCCUAGAAGAGAAAGUUGGACACUGCAGAAACACUUGUAGGAACGGACCUGCUGAAGGAUGGUGCAGAGCAAAGGCUGUGCUUAACCCACGAGAGGGAGCUCCGUUUACAUUAAUGGGAUCAGCUUUUUGGUAUUAUUGGCAUGGAAAUCACUUCUCAGUCAGAAGGAGCGCAAUGGGAAGUGAUACAGACUUAUAUUUCCGUGUGAUGCAUUCUUAAAACUCUCAACAUGUCACUGAACAGCUCUGGUGUCAGGAUGGUCAGGAGAUUUUUCUAUGGGAAGAGAAGUCAUGACGCAGUUCUGGCUCCAAUGACCUAAAGUUACUCGUGUUGUUUCCAGGGGCAGAUGAAAUGUUUGUAUCACGCUGUCCAGAUAAAGAGGGAGGAAAAAAAAAUCCCGGUGUAGACAAGGCCUUGUGCUGCAAAUCUUGAAGUUUGCUGCUUCUAUAUUGUAACCAAAAAUGGCUUAUGCUGUGGUUCUGAAAGGUUUCCUUGUUUUCCUCACCUGUAUCAGGGGUAUAACAAAAGAUACCGCUUCUCAUCAAAGUUGCCUUAUGUGAUAUAAAGAGAAUCUGGAAAAUCCCCUAUGGAAGAUCCUUGUUGUUGUUACAAGAAGUUAGGACUCAUCAUCUUCUUUGGCAUCAUUUGUAUUGCACCUUGGUGACAAGGAGAUUUGGCCCUGAUACCAUCCUCCAAAUUCAGGCAAGUGGCUUUGGCACACCUAAAAGGUAAUUUCCAGACAACACAUCCAUGGAGAAUUCUGCUAUCUGAAGGUCCUGGGGGAUCUGAGGUGCUCUCUGAGUAAACCCAAUGCACCAUGAGGUGGGUAGGACAGGGAAGACCUUAUAGAACUCCAAUGGAGAUGGAACGUCAGGGGAGCAGCUCCCUCGCUGUGCUGGGGGCAGGUUUUGGAAGGACAACAUGCCUCUCUCCCAUCCUCAAAGGACGUGGUGGCACACAUGCCCCCCGUCCCUCACCAGCCGUGCAUGAAGACGCCCUGUUCAUCCCUGUGCUCUCAGCCAGGGUGGUCGUCUGUGUGGAAAGCCUAAAGCAAACAAAGGCGAGCUGCAGCCAGAUGUUGGGAGCUUUCAGGUUCACUUAGCGUUCCCGGGGUAGGCAGCACACGCAUGCCUCUGCUCCCUGCUCAGACGGAUAAGCCCAAGCAUCCAUCCCCUUUAAAACCUUUCCCUUUGCAAUGGAAACCACUGCUUACCUUUCCAGAACCAUCUGAGCAAAUACGGACCUUGCAGAAAACGUCAGCAAUUCCUGAUCCAUCAAAGCUGUGCUAAACAAACCCAGCCGAACAAUUUACAACUUGACCUCACGUUGUGCCUGUAAAUGGAUUCUGUGAAAGGCCUUUUCUUGGGCUGGUUAUAUUUUCAUGGUGUAUACAGCAGGCUAAAUUAGCCAAUUCGACAGCUCCCCAGAAUCCUCUUGGCUUUGCUUUUUACUGGGGAGGGCGGAUUUCAGAAUGGACUUGUUGCAAAUCCCCAGAGCACUGCUUUAUCUCAUAGACAGAAAGCCGUUUCCUCUUUACGUGAGGCAAGAAAUUCUGCUCUAUGUGAAAUAAGGACAAGAUUUUGUUAUCUCUAUUUGAGCUUAUAGUGCUCCUUAUUGUGGUGACACUUCUUGAGAAUGACUUCCUAAAGACUCGAGAACAGCUGUUGAUGUAAAAUUGACUUAUGUACCAGUAUCAUGUGGUGGAUUUGGGCUGAUUCCUCCAGGAAGACAUUUUAAAAUCCCCCUAUUAUUUGUGUGAAAGAAGUUGCUCUCAGGUUGUCUUUUGCCAGGAGGGAAAUCAAUUCAUGGGACUGCUGCUCCACCUUGUACAGAUUACAGAAUCUGAGGCAAGCCCACCAUUCUCCUCUAAGAGUGAUGGCCAUGCUCUACUUCUCAAUAAUGGAAUAAUAGUGGAAAUAAACAUCGUCAUGAAC
rnacentral:lncRNA from 7 species